ensembl:lncRNA
GUAGGCGAGCGCGGGAAACUGACGCAAGUGUACUGUGCGCUCGCGUGACCGAAAGCACAGAACGACUUCAGCAGUUGUGCAUUAGAAAACAUCAGGCCAGAAGGGUGACGGGAAAAUGCAGACGUCAGGACGAAGAGGCGACGCACCCAUCCGCUUACGUAUUCACGACCGACGACGGUUAGCUAGCAGAAGAAGAAGAAAAACAGCAAAAGGACACACGUACCUCCUCGUCAGGGGACUCCACGUCUUCCUCUUGUCCCGAGCUUAAGGGCCACGUGUCACCUAGAGGGUGCAGGCACACAGACGUUAGCGACAGCACUGACCACUUUGAACCGUACCCGCAAAGUGAAGUCUACACCUUCAACAAUCUUUCCGUGAACUAACGGGGCCCAGAAGAACUUCAGAGGACUGAAGAAUUUUUCGAGGGAAAAACCUGGUCGUGUUUGGGGUACGUGUGAAGACAGCGGGCAAAAGGAAAGCAAGCAGUACUGCACGUGGUAUCUGGACCUAGGGUCUUGAGGUAUUUUAGGUUCGCACGUAGCUUCUUUCUUUCGACGGAGGUCCUGGCGAUGGAGCCCAGGAACUCCUGCGUCCGAAGCAUGCCAUCCAUCCACCCACCAGCUACACCCUACCCUGGACCCACAGUAGCUUUUAAGGACAGACGUAAGAAAAACCAACCUCCAGGGAUGUUCACCGACUUACCGGACACGUCAGGCUGGUCUGCUGCGAGCGCAGACGUCAAUGUCUCGUCCUCGGUUGGCUCCUCCGGAGCACCUUCGUCAGCUACGUUCGCCUCAGGACGGGUGUCUUCCCGUUCGGUUUCUGGCUCGGGCGCCCCUUCCUCUACGUUCGCCUCAGGACGGGUGUCUUCCCGUUCGGUUUCUGGCUCGGGCGCCCCUUCCUGUAACAACAAAACGGGAGAAUCCAAAAACCCACCUUGAGGAGCAUCCUACUCAUUUCACUUGGCCCCUCCGUCUAUCUACAGCGAGGCACGAGCUAUCUACGGUGUCUAUCUAAAGUCACAGGCAUUAUCCUGGCAAAAGCUGGGAAUACACACGAAGGACAGAUCCUGCCCUGUACUGUUACCAGAGGCAGGGACCCGCGAACACCCAUCAGCACAGAAAAGGACCAUCCGGCGGCUCUACAGCCGAAGUGAACGGACAGGCAGGCCACAGAGGAGAGAAGGGUCUGGGGCAGGCCCUGGCUCGGGGAAGGCUGGGAAGACCGGGCCCGUGUCUUCAAAGGCAGGCCGAGCGCAGAGGGGGCAGGGGGAGGCGUUCCAGGAAGGGCAGCCUGAGCCGAAGGACGAGGUGGGAAACAGCAUGAGCAGUCACACGGAAACCCGGGACACACUCAGUGGGAACGGAAUGGGAAGGCCCCACUGGCAAGAUUCGGUAGGAGACAACAGUCGACUCAUCCAAAACGAGGAGUGCCGAAAACACAAGACAAAACGGGAGACAUCUUAUAAACCUCACCGAACUCGCACAGGGAACCGUCUACGUUCAGUAAGUUGGCCUAACCUACCGGGGAAAACUGCUGGAGGCAAAGAAUUUAGAUACAGACACCGCGUUCCGUAGGCGAGCGCGGGAAACUGACGCAAGUGUACUGUGCGCUCGCGUGACCGAAAGCACAGAACGACUUCAGCAGUUGUGCAUUAGAAAACAUCAGGCCAGAAGGGUGACGGGAAAAUGCAGACGUCAGGACGAGAGGCGACGCCACCAUCCGCGACGUAUUCACGACCGACGACGGUUAGCUAGCAGAAGAAGAAGAAAAACAGCAAAAGGACACACGUACCUCCUCGUCAGGGGACUCCACGUCUUCCUCUUGUCCCGAGCUUAAGGGCCACGUGUCACCUAGAGGGUGCAGGCACACAGACGUUAGCGACAGCACUACACUUGAACUGUCCGCACACCUGAAGUCUAACCCCCUCAACAUCUUUCCGUGAACUAACGGGGCCCAGAAGAACUUCAGAGGACUGAAGAAUUUUUCGAGGGAAAAACCUGGUCGUGUUUGGGGUACGUGUGAAGACAGCGGGCAAAAGGAAAGCAAGCAGUACUGCACGUGGUAUCUGGACCUAGGGUCUUGAGGUAUUUUAGGUUCGCACGUAGCUUCUUUCUUUCGACGGAGGUCCUGGCGAUGGAGCCCAG